rnacentral:misc_RNA from 1 species
AAUAGGGGUUCCAAACAGGCAGGCGGCAACAUGCAAGAAAGAGAAAGAAUAACAAAAAACAGAAAAAAAAAAAAAGAAAAAAAACACCUCCAUUCUUUUUGCUACAAAAGAAUAUUUGAAGAGUAGUUAACACCAUAUGGAGCCAAGCAGAGACAUCCUACCAACACCAACAAUGAGUCGCUGCUCUUUAACUCUCGUGGUGGUUGUGCUGAUGCUUCUAUUUUCAAAGCCAACUCUUGCUAAUGGCAGACCACUUUCAUCAUCACCAUCAGCAAGCCAGGAAAAUACUGACCAUCAGGAAGCUAUUCCUGCUGGGCACGGUUCUGUAUCUGCAGAUGCAACUUCUGUUUCUAAGUCUGCAAAGGAUGUGAGUGAUGAUCAUCAAGUUUCAGCAUCGGCUGGAGUGUUCCCCAUGGCUUCUGGACCAAGCAGGAAAGGCUCUGGCCACUGAGCAUCCAUGCAUCUCUCUCAGCCUGUGUUUCACCGGUUUGUUGUUGAUUCUGAAAUGUUUUACACAUAUAACUAAUUUGUGCAUCUAGCAGCUACACAGAAAUUUAGGCCAAGUGCAUGUUUCAGAGAAAUUCUUUGAUUUUGUUAGAUGGUGCACAUACCAGCUGUGGAUGUUGUUCAACGAAAAUAUAAAUACAUAUAUGCAGAACUAUAUAUGUUCCAGGAAAUCAUCAAAGCAAAUAGAAGAAACUCCUGUUUCAUUGGUGAAGAAAAAAUUUCAGAAUGUAUGUUUAGCUACAUCUAAACUGGCAGCAGUACAUAUUUAUCUUGUAACUUCACAUUUCCUUAUAAAUAUAUUCAUAGAUGCAUAACUAGCAAGAUCACUUUGAUUGCCCAAUUCCUUCUAAUUUCCAAUAUUUUGGAGUCCAUUUUCUACCAAGCAGUUUCCAUGUUAAUUAUUGGGAAUUGAUGGAUAAGGCUAUUCUGAAGUAGCGCCAUGGUUCUAAAUUUUAAUCUCAACCAGUAGCAAAUUCUGUGUCACCCAGUGCUAUAAAAAAACACAGCAAAAUAACUAAUGGGAAAAGCUAAAAAUCUGGGCAGAGUAGAAAAGGCUGAAGCUAAUCGAAAGUUGAGACUAGGCUUCUGCAAAACAAGCCCAGAUUAAUCUUACAUCACUAGGCUUUGUUCAUACUUGCCAGCAAGUCAGAUAUGCCGUGUGCCAUUCUUUUCCCCUCAUUUUGGCAAUUAAAGAAACUUUUGAACAUAUAACACAUAAUCACACUUUAACCACUAAGCUAAGUUUUCAGUUGUUAAAAAAGAAUGUAUAGUCAUAAGCAAUAAAAAUCAGUAGCCGUUCCUUUAUGCACUUCACUUCGUCCAGUAGAUAUUGGACUUGGUCUAUGCCAUUUGACUUGAUGGUGAUAUUUUUCUUCGCAUAACUUAAAAAGGGGAAAAGAUGCUUGGAGUUAAGUCAGGCUACAGGUGGCAAGGUACAUGAGUAGCCUAUCAAUGAUGGAAAAGAAUGAAAGAAAGUUAUUUUCUUCCCCUUUUUAUUGCGCAAAAUAUACUCCCAGAGCAAUUGGUGAAAGAAGUGUACUUGCUAAGGCUAUCUAGAGACUGAAGUGCAUUGCUUUUGAAAGAGUUCGCAGGAUACUAAGGCCCUUAUUUUUGACUGAAAAUGAAAUGCUAGUGGGUGGAAUUCAUAUUCUCUCAAAAGACGACUCAAUAAUAGGCAUUUUUCUAUCUUGAAUAUGUUCUUUAUUCCUUUUUAUAGCAAUCCAUUUUUGAUCAUGAAAGAAAGUUGACAUUUUCAGGAGAUGUGAGGUGAGACAGUGACUCCUAAGCAGAGACAUUGUCUUCAUAUGCAUUUAGAGCAUUGUCUGAAGGCAUGCAAAGUGAGCAUAUUUUGCCAGGAAGAAAGAAGCUCAGAAAUUAAAACUUAUUGCUUAUGUUACAAUUCUGCUAUUACAAACACCACUCUACAAUUUAAGAGCAGUGUUUAUCCAACCCAAGAUAGGUGUUAAAAGAAAAUUUAGAAGACCAAAAGAAAAAGACAGAUAAAAGGAAAAUUUUACAUAUUGUGGAGAAGAUAAAUAAGCUUUUUACGUAUGUUUACCUCUACGAUCUAUAUCUAUUAUCUGGCAUCAUCAAUUCUCAAUUGGGAGAAAACUUCACUUGCCCAUAUGUUUGCACUGUCAUCCCUCAAGAUGGGCAUAUCAUCUUUUUCCGCUGACAUGCUGAAAGAUGCAAAACGUUGAAUAUUAGGCAAAGCUAACAUGGCUGAAGCAUCUGUUGCACUGUCCUCAUGGGGCUCUCUCUCUAUCCCUGUUUGUUGCAGUUGCAAUGCAUACUCCAAGUACCACUGCACAUCUCCCAUAGGAGGCCUAUCAGCACUACAUUCUUGCAGACAUUUCUCUGCUAUCUCAGCAAAUUUUCUUAGGGAGCUGAGAUUGAUCUGACUCUUUAUUGAAGGAUCCACAAUCUGUUCAAGUGUCCCUUUGUUCUUGCAAAUUAUACCCCACUCAGCUAGAUUUACUUGUUCCCUUGGAAGCAAGGUAUUGAUAGCUGGUCUUGCACAAAGAACCUCAAGAAGCACUACACCAAAUGAGUAGACAUCAGAUUUU